rnacentral:lncRNA from 1 species
AGAUGCUCCUUAAACAGGGCGAGCCCUGCGCUCCGGGGAGGUGGUGGCGUGACCUCUGACCCCGUGGGACCGGCCAGGGCCCUGAAGGAGCAGCGAGCGAGGUCUCGGCGGUGUCAGGCCGAGGGGCUCGCCCGCCCGCACGGGAGGCCCUGACGCCGAGACCCGCCGAGACCCGCCGAGACCGUGGAAGGUUCGAGGCUCCCCCCGCCGCUGGACGCAGGACCACGCGACCCGUGCCUCCCAGUUCCGCAGGGAGGAUCCCUCCGGCAGGAGACACAAGAGCAGCAUCCCCUCGGUGGACGAGCCAUCACCACAAACCACCUUUCGGGUUUUUGGAGAGAAGGCUGUAUUGGCUGGAGCCAAAACAAAACAAAGAACUCUAUCCACUCCACCUCGGCCCCCGAAAUUGAAUGGCACUUGGCAGUGGUAAAGGAGCACGGUUCAAAAUCGUGGAGAAGUAUCCUGAUUCCUAGAGAUUCAUGGGGACCAACAGAUGGAGUCCAGGAAGUAGGGUUUAUACAAACUGUUGCUAGAAGCCUAGAUGAGUGCGGGCCCUCCUGUCAGAAGAAGAGAACAACGUGCCUAAAACUAGGAAAUGGGAGCUAGUUCCAGGGAGAUGGAGCCGUGGUCAUCUCCAGAGUGUGGCAAGCAUCGCACGGUGCUGUAUUUAUAAGGAAGAAAUAAUAAGUACUGUGAAUUGUUGUGUUGUUUAAACUAAUGAGGAGGGAUCCCUGGGUGGCGCAGCGGUUUGGCGCCUGCCUUUGGCCCAGGGCACGAUCCUGGAGACCCGGGAUCGAAUCCCACGUCAGGCUCCCGGUGCAUGGAGCCUGCUUCUCCCUCUGUGUCUCUGCCUCUCUCUGUGUGUGUGUGUGACUAUCAUGAAUAAAAAACAAAACAAAAAAAAUUUAAACUAAUGAGGAGCCCUGGAACAGACAGGGCUGCCAGAUGUCUCUCAGGAAAAUACCAAACUUCCAGAUGGGGAGUAGAAGAAGAUGUAGGAACAUAUGAAUAAAAAUAGCAUUCCUCUCCCGCCUGUGUUCUGGGGCUCCCCCCAAAAUAUGUCUCCAAGUCCACAAGAACAGACUUUCAUCUCUUCACAUGAAAAAAAAUAUCCUUCUAUAGAGAAGCCCCCACCCCCACUAUAGGCUAUCCUUUUACGUUACUACACAAAUGUCCUGACAGGCUACUCUGGGGCACUUACACUGCAGUAUUUUCCAAUGGCCAGAACUUUUUCCAAGCCCCGGGUACUGGAGGGCACCACCAGCAGGUGGGAGAUUCCAUCUGGUGGAGGAGCCUCAUGAUGACUACAAACUGGUGGAGGCCAGGGGUGAAUGCAAAGAAGGACAGUAGCAUGGAGAGCUCUGAACUGCAGAGCGAAACCCCGAGAAACUCUGGGUCAAGGAAUUGGCAGGGGUUGAAGGUGGGAGUGAGGAGUGAGAUGGGCAACAGACAUUAAUUUGAAGUCUGUGUAAACACAUAGAACAGAGACCGCCUGACAAGGGCUGCCAGGCAGCUUGUAGCCCCUCCAUUUAGUCAUUUGAUGAGCACAGAGACCAACUCUCAACCGCUCAAACAAGUCCUUCAUGUUGACUCUACCACUGUUACCACAUGUGAACACAGCUCCUGGGCAGCUUUUCUACUACUAGAAUAUCAAGAAAAUAUACUAACACUUGCAACAGGAGAAAAUCCACUAAAUACGAGAUAAUUGGGUGCCUGGGUAGCUCAGUCAGUUAAACAUCUGCCUUCGGCUCAGGUCAUGAUCUCUGGGUCCUGGGAUAGAGCCCCUCCUGGGACUCCCUGCUCAGCGAGGGGUCUACUUCUCCCUCUGCCCCUCCCCUUGGUUGUGAGCCCUCUCUCUCUCUCUCAAGUAAAUAAAUGAAAUCUUAAAAAAAAAAAAAAAAACGAGAUAAUUUAGGAAAGAAUAAAAAAAGGAAAGCAAAACUGAAAUUACAUUUUCAGAGAGAUUCAAGACUGUAUCUUGAAGGGUAGGUAUGUUUUUAAAACUCUUGAAAUAUCUCUGAGGGAUUCACAACAAAUUAUUCACAAAGUCAUCUCUAGGGCCGGGAACUGAAUGAGAGAGAGAGCUUAGUUGUCACUAUCCAUUUUUUUUUUUUUUGAACUAUUGAGUUUUGCCCCAGGAGCGUGUAUUACUAGUUAACUUACUAAAUUUAUAAAAUAUAUCCAUAAAUUAAGAACAAAGUACUAUAGAAAAGGAACAGACAUGGGGCUCCUGGGCGGCUCAGUGGUUGAGCGUCUACCUUCGGCUCAGGUCGUGAUCCUGGGGUCCUGGGAUGGAGUGCUGUUUCAGGCUCCCCACCAGAGCCUGCUUCUUUCUGCCUAUGUCUCUGCCUCUCUCUGUGUGUCUCUCAUGAAUAAAUAAAUAAAUAUUUUUUAAAAAAGAGAAAGAAGAAAGAAAGAAAGAAGAAAGAAAGAAAGAAAGAAAGAAAGAAAGAAAGAAAGAAAGAAAGAAAGAAAGAAAGAAGAAAGAAAAGAAAAGAAAAGAAAGAAAGAAAGAAAGAAAGAAAGAAAGAAAGAAAGAAAGAAAGAAAGAAAGAAAGAGAAAGAAAGAAAGGAAGAAAGAAAGAAAGAAAGAAAGAAAGAAAGAAAGAAAGAAAGAAAGAAAGAAAGAAAGAAAGAAAGAAAAGAAAGAAAGAAAGAAAGAAAGAAAGAAAGAAAGAAAGAAAGAAAGGGAACAGACAACAAAAGGUUUUAGAAAGUACACUUUGCCUGAUCUGAGGAAAGCAGCCACAUCCUAGAGACUGACAGGGAAGCCAGGGCUGUGGAUGAAUGCAGUAACCUGCCCUCUAGACUUCUUCCAGCCUGAUCCUACCUACAAGUCCAGGCCUGAAGCCGCAGCCUCCAGCCCAGCCAUCCCUGCUGUGGACCCCACAACCCACGUUCUUCUAUCCUGCCCAUUUCUCCUGCCUAAUGGGCAAUUUGGAGUUUUCCCAUAAACUGACCUUUGUAUUAUUAGAGUUUGGAGGGUUUUGUUAGGAACUAAGGACCUCCCCUCAGACUUAAAAACAUUUUUCCCUUGAUUCCAGCUAUCUUUCUAG